AUGCCCGUCACAAACAUACCGACAACUUCCCAUUUUCUGAGUGUUAACGGCUUCUGCCCUAAUUUCUUCCUGCAGGUCCUGGCAGGUUGCAGCUUUCCCUCUCUCGUACACCGCCUUUGUUUAUUUCCCCAAAUAUACUUUCGGUGGCAUACGAACUUUGACAUUUCGUUUUGCUUUACGAGGAGGACCCGCUCCUUCACUUGCCCGGACUACAGUCCACGUCUCUCCAAGGGCCUGGGGACAGGAGAAUCAGGUACGGUGAGCUGUGCCUUCGAAGCGGGGCACUCCCGGAUCUGCGUGAGCAGCGCAGGUCAGGCGCCUCCUGGCUCCUACUCCCGCACGUGGGCUGUCUCCGCUCGCUCUGGCAGCGAGGCCGCGAGAGGGGGGGCCCGACGGAGGGGUUUCCUGCCAGUCCGAGGCGCAGGCCAUGCGGUCACAGAAUUUCGGCCGUAUUUAAAAAUCGAGGGGGGACGUUAUCGUGCUGUCAUAAUCCGGUGAUAUGUAGGUUGUUUUUUUCUUUUUCUUUUUCCUUUCGGCAUUCCCACCACUGUUAUAAGCCACGUAGAGUACCAGCACGCUAGUAAGGGGCCGAACCUUGGGGAAACAAGCCCAGAGCCUUUGAGCUGUAACCGGUGGAAACGACUCAGCCGGUUCAGGGGUCAUUAAUUCGGAAAUGUGUUAGCAGCGGGCUCAAAUCAGCUUUCCCCGUUUAAGAACACGCACACGAGCUUGCCGGCGAAGGGCCCAGCCUUCGCGAGAGGAACGGGCGCCUCAGAGCUCCGAGUCCACGACGAGCUCACGCCCCGAGAUGACUCCGCAUUUAAACUCUGCCCGGAGUCCGAGCGCUCCGGGGGCCGGAAGCGGGGCCACGUGACCGGUCCGCCUCCGCAGCCAUUGCUAACGAGGCAGCCGCCAGCGCCCCUUCUGUAUUUCCUCGCUUCUCCAAGCGCAGGGAGACGCAGAAACACCUGACAAGCGUUGGUUGCCAGGUAGCUUUGGACUAGAGGGUCAACACAACUCAUGCUUUGUCCAGCGAUACUUUGCAAGCCCCUCAGCCCAAAACAGCUGUGGGGCACUUCCGCCUGGGUGGCAACCAGGUGAUCACGCGAGACUUGGGGAGCCGGCCGGACGACUCGACUACCCCAGUCCCCGCGCUCCGCCAGCCCAGCACCCUCCGCUGCGCGUGACGACGCGGCCCGCGGCGGCCUCCGCCCCGGCGCGCCUGCGCACGCGGCUCUCGCGGUGUCUCGCGCUCAGCCCCGCCCACCUCUGCCCCCGCCCUUUCCGCCCCUCCCUCCCCCUCCGCCCUGUCUCUCGGCGGCAGCGGCGGCGGCGGCGGCUCGCGCAGCUCGUUGGCUCACUAUAUAAAGGGGAGAAGCGGGCGGACCGGACGGCUGGAGCUGCAGCCGGUGGCGGCAGCGGCGGCGCGGGGAGCGGCGACCGGNNNNNNNNNNNNNNNNNNNNNNNNNNNNUGUGUGUUUUUUUUUUUUUUUUUUUU
rnacentral:lncRNA from 1 species